rnacentral:rRNA from 1 species
GUGCCAGCCGCCGCGGUAAUACGUAGGUGGCAAGCGUUGUCCGGAUUUAUUGGGCGUAAAGCGUGCGCAGGCGGUUAUUUAAGUGUGAUGUGAAAUCCCCCGGCUUAACUUGGGAGCUUCAUUUGAAACUGGGAGUCUAGAGUGCAGGAGAGGAAAGCAGAAUUCCUAGUGUAGCGGUGAAAUGCGUAGAGAUUAUGAGGAAUACCAGGGGCGAAGGCGGCUUUCUGGACUGUAACUGACGCUGAGGCGUGAAAGCGUGGGGAGCAAACAGGAUGAGAUACCCUGGUAGUCCACGCCGUAAACGAUGAGUGCUAAGUGUUAGAGGGUU